CUUUCUCAAACAUUCAAAGGUGAACUCUCUCUCUUUAAGCCUCACCCUUUCUCAAACAUUCAAAGGUGAACUCUCUCUCUUUAAGCCUCACUCUUUCUCAAACAUUCAGACUUUCGCAUCACUCUCGAAAUUAGGCUUUCUCUUACGAGUCCUGAAGCUCUACUGAUUUCCAAAGCUAGGCGGUUUCACAUCUCUGUUGAAGCAUAGCUCUCUCUCUCAAACUUGUGGAUUACGAGGGAGAGCGUCUCUCAGCGAAGCUUCCUCUGGCAAUCAAAAUCAGAGCUUAGGAUUAGCAUUCGGCGUAGCGGGUUUAGAAGGCUUAAUCGGGUGAGUGUUCGAG
rnacentral:lncRNA from 1 species